GUGUGUGUUGUUACACACUAUCAGUUAGUAGAAGUAGAGCUGACAGGUGUUGGUGUGUGUGUUGUUACACACUAUCAGUUGGUAGAAGUAGAGCUGACAGGUGUUGGUGUGUGUGUUGUUACACACUAUCAGUUGGUAGAAGUAGAGUUGACAGGUGUUGGUGUGUGUGUUGUUACACACUAUCAGUUGGUAGAAGUAGAGCUGACAGGUGUUGGUGUGUGUGUUGUUACACACUAUCAGUUGGUAGAAGUAGAGCUGACAGGUGUUGGUGUGUGUGUUGUUACACACUAUCAGUUGGUAGAAGUAGAGCUGACAGGUGUUGGUGUGUGUGUGUUGUUACACACUAUCAGUUGGUAGAAGUAGAGCUGACAGGUGUUGGUGUGUGUGUUGUUACACACUAUCAGUUGGUAGAAGUAGAGCUGACAGGUGUUGGUGUGUGUGUUGUUACACACUAUCAGUUGGUAGAAGUAGAGCUGACAGGUGUUGGUGUGUGUGUGUUGUUACACACUAUCAGUUAGUAGAAGUAGAGCUGACAGGUGUUGGUGUGUGUGUGUUGUUACACACUAUCAGUUGGUAGAAGUAGAGCUGACAGGUGUUGGUGUGUGUGUUGUUACACACUAUCAGUUAGUAGAAGUAGAGCUGACAGGUGUUGGUGUGUGUGUGUUGUUACACACUAUCAGUUAGUAGAAGUAGAGCUGACAGGUGUUGGUGUGUGUGUGUUGUUACACACUAUCAGUUGGUAGAAGUAGAGCUGACAGGUGUUGGUGUGUGUGUUGUUACACACUAUCAGUUAGUAGAAGUAGAGCUGACAGGUGUUGGUGUGUGUGUGUUGUUACACACUAUCAGUUGGUAGAAGUAGAGCUGACAGGUGUUGGUGUGUGUGUUGUUACACACUAUCAGUUAGUAGAAGUAGAGCUGACAGGUGUUGGUGUGUGUGUUGUUACACACUAUCAGUUGGUAGAAGUAGAGCUGACAGGUGUUGGUGUGUGUGUUGUUACACACUAUCAGUUGGUAGAAGUAGAGCUGACAGGUGUUGGUGUGUGUGUGUUGUUACACACUAUCAGUUAGUAGAAGUAGAGCUGACAGGUGUUGGUGUGUGUGUUGUUACACACUAUCAGUUAGUAGAAGUAGAGCUGACAGGUGUUGGUGUGUGUGUGUUGUUACACACUAUCAGUUAGUAGAAGUAGAGCUGACAGGUGUUGGUGUGUGUGUGUUGUUACACACUAUCAGUUGGUAGAAGUAGAGCUGACAGGUGUUGGUGUGUGUGUUGUUACACACUAUCAGUUAGUAGAAGUAGAGCUGACAGGUGUUGGUGUGUGUGUUGUUACACACUAUCAGUUGGUAGAAGUAGAGCUGACAGGUGUUGGUGUGUGUGUUGUUACACACUAUCAGUUGGUAGAAGUAGAGCUGACAGGUGUUGGUGUGUGUGUUGUUACACACUAUCAGUUGGUAGAAGUAGAGCUGACAGGUGUUGGUGUGUGUGUUGUUACACACUAUCAGUUGGUAGAAGUAGAGCUGACAGGUGUUGGUGUGUGUGUGUUGUUACACACUAUCAGUUAGUAGAAGUAGAGCUGACAGGUGUUGGUGUGUGUGUUGUUACACACUAUCAGUUGGUAGAAGUAGAGCUGACAGGUGUUGGUGUGUGUGUUGUUACACACCAUCAGUUAGUAGAAGUAGAGCUGACAGGUGUUGGUGU